CACAUGACUCUCGGCAACGGAUAUCUCGGCUCUCGCAUCGAUGAAGAACGUAGCGAAAUGCGAUACCUGGUGUGAAUUGCAGAAUCCCGCGAACCAUCGAGUCUUUGAACGCAAGUUGCGCCCGAGGCCUUUCGGCUGAGGGCACGCCUGCCUGGGCGUCACGC
rnacentral:rRNA from 1 species